rnacentral:rRNA from 1 species
ACUGAAGUCUGUACCACUCUGAACAUGUCUGAUCCCCUCUGAGCUCAGAAGCUCAGCCGUGUCAGGUCUGACUGGGACUUGAAUGGGAGACCACCUGGGAAUAUUGGCUACUAUCAGGA